CAGAACAUCAUGGCGGCAGGGCAUGGCGGAGGGGCAGCCCAGGACAGGGAGGCCGGGAAACAGAGAGCCCCACUCACCAGGAAAAACAUAAACCCCAAAGGCACACCCCUGGUGUCUACUAACUCCCACCACACCCGCCGGCCUCCAACCACCACCAGUUAAUCCACAUCAGUGGAUUAAUCCACUGAUGGGGUUACACUUCUACAACGUGAUCCUUUCACCUCUGAAGACCCUGUGCUGUCUCACACAUGAGCUCUUGGGGACACCUCACUCUAGCCCAUAACAAGCCAUCGGUCCUUACCUGGAGGGAGGUGGAGGCAGGGAGGCCUGGGGAGGACCCUGGCUCAGACGCCACACCUGCUUAGGUCCUCACUCCCUUCUCCUAAACCAUGGCCCUAAGCAAGUGACCUGACUUCCGCCAGCCUAGUGGCUCCUCUGUGACACAUAGUAGGACCGGGUGUGAGUGCUAACGUCUAUAGUAGGAUGACGGGGGUUGGCAAUGUCUGUCUCGGCCCCUCUCAGACUUUCAGCGGGUGUGACCCGCGGGGCCUCUGGCAGUGCCAGCGAGGUGGGGACAGCGUGACGGGGUGAUUUACUAUCGUCCUUUUACUGUUUUGAGAUGCAACCUCAGCAUAGUGUUCUUGGCACCACCAUCUUCCUGGCAAACGCCUGCGUCUCAUCCAGACCCAGAGGCUGUUCUCUCUCUGGGAAGAGCACAGGGCCGCGUGGCCUCCAGCCCAGAGUGGCCCUGGUGGAGUGGAGGUGGCAGAGUCCCCAGCACCCGUCCCACCGCGCCUCCCCUCCCUGUCCCUCUACAUCAUCCCUGCACCUCCAGCGUGACCUUGAAUCACCUUGUCCUUGAAGAUGCUGGUUCUCCGCCUGGAAUACCCUGGCUGCC
rnacentral:lncRNA from 1 species